GAUGAACGCUGACAGAAUGCUUAACACAUGCAAGUCUAUUGGAAGCUUGCUUCCGAUGGCGGACGGGUGAGUAACACGUAAAGAAUCUGCCCUUUAGUCUGGGAUAACAUCUGGAAACAGUUGCUAAUACCGGAUAUUAUAAUUCGAUGGCAUCAUCUUAUUAUGAAAACUAUAUGUGCUAGAGGAGGACUUUGCGGCCCACUUAGCUAGUUGGUGAGGUAAUGGCUCACCAAGGCUUCGAUGGGUAGGCCGGCCUGAGAGGGUGUACGGCCACAAGGGGACGUGAGACACGGCCCUUACUCUACGGGAGGGCAGCAGUGGGGAAGUAAUUGGUA
rnacentral:rRNA from 1 species